UCAAGAUGCUCUGCCAUCCUGGUCCAAUCUCUGCCCUAGCAUUCCACCCGAAUGGCCAUCUCAUGGCAACAGCCGGAAGGGAGAAGAAAAGAAAGAUUUGGGAAUGUUACAUAGUCAUUCGAUGGCGAAAGGAUACCAGAUAGGGAAAGUAUCGUUUAGGCCCUACGAAGAUGUUCUGGUUUUAGGACACUCGAUGGGUUGGUCCUCUAUUCUCAUUCCAGGUUCCGGGGAGCCUAAUUUUGAUUCAAGGGUUGCGAAUCCGUACGAGACGAGUAAACAGAGAAGAGAGAAGGAGAUCCAUAAUCUACUGGACAAGCUGCCACCAGAGACGAUAAUGUUGGAUCCUUCGAAGAUUGGUACAUUGAGGACAAGCAGGAGGAAGGAAAAACCCACGAAGGAGAUGGAAGAGGAGAAGGAGGCUGCGGUGGAGGCAGUGAAAGAGAUUGCGUUGAAGAAGAAGACGAAAGGUAGGAACAAGACGAGCAAGAGAGUGAUGAAGAGAAAGGUGAUGGUUGAUAAAGCUAAGAAACCUUUCUUGGAGAAGCAAAAGCAGGAGAAGGAGGAAGGCAAAGUUAACGUUGAUGAUGGGAAGAAGAGGAAACACGGCGAGGAAACUCAACUGCCUGCUUCUCUCCAGAGAUUCGUGCGUAAGAAGGCUGCUUAGCUUAGCUGUACUUUCUUUGUGGACUGACUGCAAUUUUGAUUCCGUUGGUUGGUUCUAACCCCAGAGUUUUGUGCUGUGAUAUUGAAUUAGUGAUGGUGAUCGCAGUCACAUAUAAAUGUAUUUUAUGUAUUAUGUAGACUUAUGAAUUGUUUUAAUUACACAGUUUGGUCAGAAAAUUAUUAAUCGGGUUGGAAUGGAUCGAGUUAGAUUGGAUACAAACUUGCUCUGUUACACAGAUGAUUGAUUGCUACUACAUUUACGACCAACAUACAAUUCAACAUUAAGCCCCAUUCCUGUUUUACUUUCCAAUUCUAUAUUUCAUCACUUAACAAGUACUGAUGGAUACGUUGGUACAAUACAACAUUCAAUUGCCAAAGCAUCUUAAUGCUAUCUGCUGCUAGGCACAGCUGCUGGUCGCCUGAAGCUUCUCCGUGACUUUCUCUUGAGGUAGAAAAGAAGGCCAGAACCCCAACACAGGCCAAGUUGCUACAAUUGCUAUGUAAGCAAGAAACCAUAUUGACGUUCUGCUAUGCCGUCUGAGUUGAGUUAUUUGUCUCUUUACGGGAUCAAUCAGAUCGCUCAGCUUUUUAUCAGAAGGAGACUCAUGAUUGUUUCCAGGAUCCACUUUCUUGGGCGUUUCCACAUCCUUGCUGCUUUCUUCUUCCUCACUGUCCUCCCUGCCAGUAUGGUCCACGUCAUCUGCUGCAUCGUCUUUGUGGAUGUCGACGACUGCAGCUACAGUUCCGUCAUCCACUGCGUUGAUGAAAGGCCCCUGGUCGAUUUCCGAUUCCAGUGGAUUGGUUGUGCUAGAUGAUUCCACCUGCAAAUGUAAGAACCAGCAUAUUAGAUGAAACAACUUGCAAAAAUACGUGAUCAGCAAUUCUGUAGCCUUAGAUAGUAAUGGUAUUAGUAUACCCUUUUUGGUUUGUCCUUUAACGGGCUAGACCGCAUCAGCUCGAGGAAUUCACUAGCAGCUCUCACCCACCUGGAUUAUGAUGAAUGCAAUGAGUGCUUCAGAUUAACUUCGUGGGCAAUGCAACCUUGUAUUUAGUAAAAAGGAGAGUAUAGUUAAAUUACCACAUGUUACUAGCGGUAAGUCCUUCAUAAUAAGCUAGGUGGCCUCCAUGUUCUGUUGCAGCCAGGACAAUGUUUGGAUUCAUCCUAGAACGGGAUCACAUCUCAGAAUCUUAUACCAUCGAUAACAGUUGGCUGUGGGAUAUUAAACUUACAAGGAUGGCAUAUUUGAAAUAACCCAUCAGAAAAAAUACCUGCAUUCAUCCCAUGGAAUAGCUUCUCUUGUACAAACAGGGUCAUCCAAGGCACUUAUGCAAAGAAGGGGCACUGCAACGUUCCCCACAUGGUUAACAGAGCUAGAACGUCUGUAGUAUGUGUCUACUGUCUGUAAAUCAAGAAAUUACAUCUAUUCAGUGGCCCCGGAGGGCCACCUCAUGGCAACAGCUGGAAGGGAGAAGAAAAUAAAGAUUUGGGACUUGUACACCUUUGGCUAAUUUGAUUCAAUGGAGGGAUAAACCAGUAGCUCUUUCCAUUGUGAGGAAAUUCGAGGUCGUCCAAACCAUACCAGGGCAUCAUGCCAAGACUUUGGAUUUCAGCCAAAAGGGUUUACUAGCUGCAGGAACGGGAUCGUACGCUCAUGUUUUCGGGGACUUGUCAGGAUCGGGAACUUACAGUCGGUACAUGGGUCAUUCGAUG
rnacentral:lncRNA from 1 species